rnacentral:lncRNA from 1 species
CACAAAUGGAGCCAGGCUAAUGGAGAGGAAGGAGAGCUUUUUCCAAACCAAUAGAGAAAGGCCCACAGGAAAUGUUUAGCAGAUGUGGCAAACCCAGACAGUUAUGAAAUCAUUGUUCAUUCAUAACUUUACGUAAGUCUGAGCAUGCAGACAGUUGCUUUGCUUUAUUUUGGUUUUACUUUCUGUUUUCUUGCUUGAGAAGAACCCUAGAGCUUCAGGUAAACUCAACCCCCUCUUCGCAGAAAUGUCACUCAUGCUCAUCACAGAUGACGCAGAUGCCGAGGAAGCCACAGAGAGCAAUUGGGCACAGGCGGUUCAAAACUGGCCUGCGGGAGCAUGGGAGUCUUUUCCUGCAUGGGGCCUGCAGAAGGAAAUGCAGCCCGCAGCUCAGCACGGCCUCCAGACGGCCCUAGUCUCUGCGUUUCCUCAGAAACUCCUUGCGGGAAGAACACACAUGUUCCAGGCCAGAUGCUCUUCCCCACGUCUAUGGACAGAGCACUGAUCCCAGUGAGGAACGUCCACACACCACACAGCAAAACCCUUCUCACCGUGAGAAAUUGACAGUUGCCUGAGAAAGACACUGUCGUGUAGGAAACAAAGCCUUCAUCUCAGAUUUUAGAGAAAUCCCCGCAAAGAAAUGACAAAAGCAGAGUGGCUUCAGCGUUCUCCGUAGACACAGAUGUUCACCUCCACUGUGGGCAUCUUCAGGCAGGAGCUUUGCCUCACCCCUUCUCUCGUGUGCCUUCCAGGACUCAGCCCCCUCGUGCCUCCCGGAAUGCAGGGGUGCCAUUGGAAAGAUGGAAAGUCUAAGGAGGGUACAAGUCACAGCUGCUCUGGUCCUCAGAGCUUCCCUGCACUGGGCGUGUUGAAUGCACACUCUCUACCCCAUAACAUACCAUCAGAUGCGGGAAUAUGAAUGAGAUCAUCCCAGACUCCAUGGGGAUCACAGAGCUUGGGAAAGGAAUGUCAACACUGGAAGGCAGGUCUGAGUCCAAGUCUGUGUCCUCAGCCUAAAAUCUUCAGAUUUAGUAAAUAAAAACAUGGGUUGCCUGGUUAAAUUUUUACAUAAGCAAAGAAUAGUUUUUAGCAUAAAAUGCUGCAUGCAAUAUUCAGUGUCCUGUAUUUCGUCUGGCAGCCUCACCUCUCCGGCACAGCUAUGGGAAGAUGCUUUUGUCCGCCCAGCCAGGGCCAGGAUGACACCAGGGACGCUCAAACGUCUACAGCCAAUUUGGUGACCCCCUUUAAUUUUUGGAAAUGCCACUGCUGGCCCCUCACAGUGGAAAUUCUUCAUGUGCAACCAGCUCAUAAAUAUAGUGUGUUGGAGGCACCUGGAUGGUUAGGACUCAGGACAAUAUUCUCCCCAAAUAUUUUCUCAACAUCCAUCUUCCUGGUGGCAAUUAGUGUCUGAGAUUCUCUUUAACUUUUCCUUGCCGGGGUGACUGCAGUCAGCCGUCAAGGCAAGAAAAGGGAAGUCUGAAAAAGUGUAAAACUGAUCAUCAAAACACAAAACUUUACGUGUUUUUCUCUGAAAGCGCAUGAAACUGGCUGCUUAGCUUCCAAAUGGAAACCCCACACUGCAUGUUCUCCGAGGCUUUUCUGCUUUCUUUUGACAUUUUGACACUGAGCUCUGAAAUAAUAGUGUUAACUGUUGAUCUUUUUUUCCUUUGGAAAUUGGCUUUUGACACUAGACAGCUGGAAAAUCUGAAAGGUUAGCGCACAUCUGGUGCGUCUACCUCAAUAUAAAUGCCAAUGUUCCAUCAAAGCUUUUCACAGAUCAAUGAAAUAAUGAUCACAGGUGCCAAGACACAGGGAUUCACUAAGAUGGACAGCCACACAGAAUUAUGACAAGGUUGGUGGUUGUUUUUGUUUUGCUUUUCGUGUUUUGUCUCUAUUAUUCAUGGAGAUUUGUCCCUAGAAACACCAGAGAGAGCCUACAGUGCCAACAGCACAGCUCUCUGGCAGGGCCCCAAGAGCCGCGGGAGGGCAGGGCAGGUUCCUGGCAUGCCUGAGAUGACUUAGCACACUGUGAACCAGGGCUUGUGAACAGGGAAGUGUUACUCAAGAUUGAGCUUGACUUUACAAAAGCAAGCUUGUUCCCCUGGAAGGCUUUCCAAUUUUGAUAAACUGUACUGUGCAUUCAUGCCUGUUCAUUUGAGUGACUGCAGAUCUUAAAAGAAUCGUUUUCGGAAGACAAAAAUGCAUGUAAAAUAAGGCUGGGCGAUGUGAGAGGUGACACUGUAACAUUGGGAGCUGGUCCUGCUCUGGCAACAGGCAAUAGCUUCCUCAGUCUCCUGCAGAGCCAAGCAAGGAAUGGUUUUGCUGGGGAGUUCUGCAAAAUUUAAUGAGAGAGGCAGGUGUGAGGCCACGUCACAGCAAGGGAACCUGCAGUUCACUUCAAAUUUGGGGAAGAGUUUUGAAGCCUUGACAACAAACCACCUCUUUUUCAACAUCCUUCUUCCUCUUCCUCUCUUCAGCAGCAAAGCUUCUUAUUCCUACAAUACAGGGUAGAGAGAGACAACUGUUUGAACUUUCAAAUUGUACACUGGAAGACGAGCACCAUGUUUGCAAUUGAUUCUGCCUCCUUCCAGCUUAGAGCCUUCAGUAGCAGACACGAGCAAUUUCCUACCCUGCUGAGCUCCAUGGGCUCCCAAUGGAUCCUUCAAAGCUGAGCUCCUGGUAACCUCACAGAGAAUCGCUGUGUGGGAAACCAGAGCAGGAGGCUGGAGGCAGGUAAGAGCCGGGCCAUCCACAUGGUAACAUGGAAACUGGGUUGUUUUUCCAGGGCUUGGACCAGGCUUGGGCGUGUGGCUGCUGCACGUGAGAAAUGUCCCUUCUCCCACACACGCCAGUAGCCACACCACUCUCUGAAUAGGAACACCUGCUCUAUGUACCCAGCCCAAUGUAUUACAAUAUUUAUUAGGCCCUCAUGCUGUGGCUAGGUAAAGUGAAGUGACAUACAUUUUAUGAAAUUUGUGUCCCCAUGUCUGUACCUUCAUUCUGACGUCACUGCUCUUGCCAAGAACAGAUCAAAACCGUUGCAUGUUUGGGUUUGUUACUCCCUUGUUCUUCCCACUGUGCUGGCAAGAGGGCGCGGGCGAUAAAUGAGGUCAGGAACACCUGCUCCAUUGCAACUGCUUCUGGACAGACCAGACCUCAGGCCACAUGCUCACCAGUGCUGGGGUUGAGCCCUAUUCUGUGACCCCACCACAAUGAAUAUUGAGGCAGAAAUCGUGAAUAUGACAAGGUCCUGCCCUCAUACUCCUUAAGAAAAAGGAAAAUAUUUUAAAUGAAAUCAUCUUCAUUGUUACAUUUACAAAUGAGGGAUAAAAACCAAACACAUAGAAAAGUAUUUUAAAAAUUCCUGUGUACCCCCAGCGACAUGUACUGUGACACCGUGAGCAUUUUGGCGUCUAUCCAUCCAGAUACGUUCCUACCUGCAUGCAAUGGCAGGAAAGAUCCAGAUACAGAUUUCCAUGCCCAAACACCCUACACCCAGUUGAUGUCCCAGACCUGCUAUCCCAUAACCGACUCUUCCCUUAACAGCAUACCUUACAUGUCCUCUUAGUCAACGGACACACAUCAGCUUCGUCUUCAGUGUCUGUCCAGUAUUCGUGCCAUGCCACUCCAUAAUUUCUUCACAAAAAUCUCCCAUUUCAGGCAAUUUAUGUUUAUUGUUAAGCCAGUCACAUUUAGCAGUGUGGGGUCGUGUACCAACUUUAGUGACACCAAUGUUAAUCAGUUCUGAUAACCACUACAUUGGACAAGCCAGGAUUUUUUUUUUUAAUUCCUACUUGUUUCAAACAACAGUACGUGUUUACAAGAAGGCUUUUGUAAUUCUAUAUUUGCAAAAAGUGUGUAUGUGUCUGGUUCUUUUCUGCGGAUACAUUUCUGGAAGUGCAAUCUCUGGGUUGGCAUUUUGUACACUUUAAACCUUUCUCGUAUGUGCCCCCAAAUCGUCCUCCAGAAAGUUGGCACUGGAGCACACCACCCACAGCGGGGUAUGAGGCCUGAGACGAAAGUGAAUCCUGUGUCUUCUUCAGAGACACAGAAGCUGCUGAUUUCUUCCUGUUCUGGAGACUGACACUUAAAUGUGUCUCAGAAGUGGUUUGGGGCAAAGUAGGGGCAAAAAUUUUCAUGUGGAGGCAACAAAUUUAAAUAACCAAACACAAUGAACCAAAAUUAUCGAUUCUCUGAGUCAUUUUAUAACUGAAUAGUCAAUUCUCUGAGUCGUUUUAUAACACCUGGGACAGCGUCGUGGAGACUGAACACGUGAGUUCUCUGAGUUGCUUUAUACCACCUGGGAGAGUGUGGUGGAGAUUGAACACAUCAAUUCUCUGAGUCGUUUUAUAAUGCCUGAAAGAGCAUCAUCGAGACUGAACACGCGGUGAAUUGCAGCCACUACUCAACAUCAUGCUUUUCACGUCUAGUCUGGAUGGAACAUUCUAGAAGGGCUCUAGGAGACACGUGGAUCCUGGAGUAAGUUGGGUAAAGAAACAUGUUAAAGGAAGGUAGCUCUUAUUUUACCAGAGCCUGUCCUUUGGUUUUUGUUAAAUCCAGAGUAUCUUAAAAUUUAAGAAUUACAUUUUCAGGUAGAAGCUUCAAUACUGUUUAUUUGAAUAAAAUAUAAAUAAUUUAUAUUAACAAGGCUGCUUAAAGUUUAUUGAAUUCUCAAUUUUUUAUGACCUUAUCAUCUCCUUAUGAAAUAACUGUUACUGAACAAGAAUUAAGUCUUAU